UUGAACGCUGGCGGCAGGCCUAACACAUGCAAGUCGAACGGUAACAGGAAGAAGCUUGCUUCUUUGCUGACGAGUGGCGGACGGGUGAGUAAUGUCUGGGAAACUGCCUGAUGGAGGGGGAUAACUACUGGAAACGGUAGCUAAUACCGCAUAACGUCGCAAGACCAAAGAGGGGGACCUUCGGGCCUCUUGCCAUCGGAUGUGCCCAGAUGGGAUUAGCUAGUAGGUGGGGUAACGGCUCACCUAGGCGACGAUCCCUAGCUGGUCCGAGAGGAUGACCAGCCACACUGGAACUGGGACACGGUCCAGACUCCUACGGGAGGCAGCAGUGGGGAAUAUUGCACAAUGGGCGCAAGCCUGAUGCAGCCAUGCCGCGUGUAUGAAGAAGGCCUUCGGGUUGUAAAGUACUUUCAGCGGGGAGGAAGGGAGUAAAGUUAAUACCUUUGCUCAUUGACGUUACCCGCAGAAGAAGCACCGGCUAACUCCGUG
rnacentral:rRNA from 1 species